UUCUUAUCAAGAGAGGUGGAGGGACUGGCCCUGCGAUACCUCGGCAACGGGUUCUUAAAUGAAUACCGUGCCAAUUCCAUCAAGUCAUUUGACUUGAAAGAUGAGAA
rnacentral:ncRNA from 2 species